AAUUUAUAAAACUGAGAGGUGCUUUGUUCGGUAUUUGCCUUUUGUAUGAACUAGUAUGGCCAUGUGGACCGAGCUUCAAACAAGCUUGAGAAAUCUGGAUAAGUUAUUGCUAUUGCAAGAAGCAACGAUCAGUAUGGCGUGGACUGAGCUGAUCAAUGGCAGCAGUAGGCCAAUAGCAGUUUCAAAUCAGUCGGAGGACCGCCGACGGCGAAGACGCGGAAAUACGAGGAGUCCAGGAGGACCUCUGACCGUGAGGCCUUGCCGCCUUGCCGGCCAAAACCCACGAACAUGCGCUGCGCGGCUGCCGGCCGCCCCCUGCUACGGUUAUCCGCCGCAGAACAUCCGCCGGCGAAUCCAGGGGUCCAGGCCCAAGCAAAUCGCCGCUUUGUCACCGGAUCGAGGAAGGGGAUAUUGGAGGGCAAGUGCGGGGGAGAACCAGAGGAGGAGUGGAUGUCCAUUCGCCAUGCGGAGGCGGCCGUCGCCGGCGCCGGACGGGAAGGAUCCAUGGGAUAGCGAAAUCGGGGGUUUUCUGAAAAAUUAUCUAGGAGGUCGUAUUACACUUAACCCCCUGAAUCGGAUCGCGAUUCAUAAUCGCGAUCCGAUUUAGGGGGGUUUAUGAAAAUGUUUGGAUCCGGUUUAGUGGGGUUUAUGUAAAUAUUUGGGUUCCCUGCAAAUUGCGCCUGCCUCCGCAGCUGCUCGCUGCCCCGCCGUCGCCAUGUCCUCCGCCGCCGCCCGAGCCCUCAAGUCCGUCUCCCGCGCUGCCUUCUCCUGGAAGCCCGUGAGCCCACGGGGUGGCCGCGGCAAACGCUGGUGGCAGCCGUGAGCAGGUCCGGCGUGGGGCUCCACUCGGGCGCGCGCGUCACAGCCACGCUAAUCCCGACGGCAAGGAUUGGUAUUUCCUCGUGGAUGGUGUCGGCGGCGGAGGUGGGGAAUGCUGAUUGCUGAACCACGGUCGCAGCUCUACACGACGCUUCGACAGGGCGAAGGCGGGGCCCGCGAAUCCGCACGGUGGAGCACCUUCUCUCUGCGAUGGAGGCGCUCGAUGUCGACAAUAGCCACGUCGAGGUCAGCGGCGGCGAGCGCAAGAGUGGGUUGUUGGCAAUACGAAGCGCAGGUUUGUGUGCAGCCGAGGAUACCAGUGGGCAAAUCUUGGAGAAACUGCGCCCCCAAAUUCGUGAACCUGUUUACUUGCAGAGAGAUGAUUGCUUCGCAGCUGUAUUCCCUAGCUUGCAAAUCCACAUCACCUAUGGAAUGAUUUCCUGAAGGCUGGUCAUGCCGCUGCACACUAAUUUCCUGAGCCAUCUGUCUGGAAAGAUCACCGUGGACCAAGAAGAGCUUGCUGGACAAUGCUGAAAUGUACGGCUCCUAUUCAUUGUAGUAUGCUGAAAUCCUAGAUCUUUGCACGUUAUUGAUGAAAUGGAGAUCAGUUCGAUGCUGGACUUGCCCUGCUUUCUAGGACUUGAGUUUGGUUUCAACUUUGAGUCUGAUGGCCAAGACGGGUGUCAAGAACACGUUGCUAUUUAUGUAUUCUGAUGUAAUGAUUAAGACAAUGACAAAAUUCUAAGUCGGUAGGGUACUAUAACUGGAGUAAAAAUAUGUGCACAGUUCUUUUCUCCAUCUUUUUCUUAGUUAUUUUCUUUUUUGUAUUUAUGAUUAGUUUUCUUUUUUUGGCCAUUUCUUCGUAUUUUCAGCAGGCUGGUACAUAUCAAUGACCUUCUUUUGUUACUAGUUGAGAA